UCCUCGAACAGGAAGUUCACUCAAAACGAGGUCCCAGGGUCCGCGCACAUGUAACGACGGCGACUGUCACCGCCGACUGUCCUCACAGUUAUUCUUGGGUCGGCAAACGGACGCAAAUCAUAUAAUAUGAAUGCAGAGAAGCAUCCUGCAGCUGAUCAGUAUGGCCAAAAGUUAGUCCAGCAGUCCAAAUCCAGUCUAGUUAAACAAUCGGGUCAAUUAGAUUCCCUUGCCAUCUUCCAUCAGUUGGUAACUUCAUCCUUUGGUCCGUAUGGGAAACUAAAAAUGAUCCAAAACUCACAAGGUGGUCAUGUGACAUUGACUUCAACAUGUGGGAGGCUUUUGAAAGUGUUCUCCAUCUCCUCUCCUGCAGUCAAGCUUAUUAUAGCAGCAGUGGACAGUCAUUUGCAGAAAUUUAGUGACGGAGGAUUGUUUGCUGCAGGACUUGCAUCAAGGCUCGUUCUUGGUGUAAGAAAUCUGGACAUGCACCCGCGUGUAAUGGGUGAUUUGUAUAAUCACUUCACAACACUGUGUGUGGAAUUUUUAACGUCUUUCCAAACAACUUUAGAUGUGGCCAGUAUAGAAUCCAUGCUGGGGAUGAUUGGUGGCAUUCUGGACUCUAAACCUGGCUGCUGCCUCAUGCUAAGGGAUAAAACCCACUUGGGUGCUUUGCUUUUGAAAGCAUUUUUAGGCUGUGUUAAUACUGAUGACACAUUGAGGAGUCAUAGGGCCUUCUAUCCUAUUUCCUAUGUGUGUCUAGAGGGCCGGCCAGUGCAGCAGAGUGAGUACAUACCAGGGGUUCUGUACAGACUCUCAACAGUUCACAGGGUGACUCCAUGCGAUCAACCCCUCAGGCUGGCCUUGGUGACAAUUUCGAUGGUUGGAGACAGCGAGGAGUUUGUCUCAGCUGACUAUCAAAUGACAUCGGAUGUCAUUCACCUGGAUGCUGAGUCUUAUAUUGCUGGCCGAGAUGAAAGACAAGAUGCCGAAAUUGACCCCAUUGCAACUUCAGAACCAGAGGGUGGUUCACGCUCAGUGGUUGCACCCUGCAGAUCCAGUGAUGUUGUGAUCAGUGCCCUGAUGGGCUUAGCCAAGCAGUGGGUGGCUUCAUCCAUAGGACUUGUGGCCUGUCAAAAAGUAAUAGACAGCAGGGUAGCACAGUAUCUACAUCAGCAUGGAGUGAUGGUCCUGGACAGACUUGGUCUCCAGACCACUUCUGCUUUACAAGAACUGACUGGAGCGACACCUGUUGGUAGUUUGCAAGGGUGGUGUGAGGAGUACAGUGGAAAGCUGGAUGGGUUGGGGAUUAAGGUACUCGGAAUGCAGAAAUACUUGCAUAUGUAUAGAUCAGCAAGUGGAGUCAGCUCAAUUGUGCUGUGUAACAGGCAGGAGGAGUGUCUUGAAGAACUGAAAUGGGCGUGUCAAGCUGUGAUUGACACACUUCAGCUGGCACUGGCCACACCCAUGGUCCUCCCAGGAGGUGGAGCAUGGGAGCUUGCCAUGGUGAACCACCUCAAGGAUUACGUUAGACAGAACUAUCGGAUUAUCAAUCAAAUUUUCAGCUGUUCCUCAGCCCAUGUGUUCCAGGCACUGGACCAGUUUGUUACCAGUUUUAAGUUCAGUCUUCCGAAAGAUGACCAGUGUACCAAUACAGUGACCAACACUGGUCACUCUGUGGUGGACUUGGCCGCUAUAAGAAUUAGUGCUCUCAAAACUGCCAGUGAUAUAGCCAGAAGUGUGCUACAGAUUAAAGGUUUAAGUUGAAUGGCCACUGUGCAGUGACUCUCCACACAGACCUGGGAGAUUUAAAAGUUGAAUUGUUCUGUGAACAGGUGCCUAAGACUUGUGAGAAUUUCCUAGCCU